rnacentral:rRNA from 1 species
UACGUAGGGGACAAGCGUUAUCCGGAUUUAUUGGGCGUAAAGCGCACGCAGGCGGCUGAUUAAGUCUGACGUGAAAUCUCUCGGCUUAACCGGGAGCGGUCGUUGGAAACUAAUUGGCUUGAGGCGAUGAGAGGGGUGUGGAAUUCCCGGUGUAGUGGUGGAAUGCGUAGAUAUCGGGAGGAACACCAGUGGCGAAGGCGACUUCCUGGCCUGUUCUUGACGCUGAGGCGCGAAAGCUAGGGGAGCAAACGGG